rnacentral:rRNA from 1 species
GCCGCGUGAAGGACGAAGGUGCCAAGCAUUGUAAACUUCUUUUGUCAAGGGGAACAAAAUCAGGCUCGAGAGCCUGACCGAGGGUACUUGAAAGAAAAAGCAUCGGCUAACUCCGUGCC